rnacentral:rRNA from 1 species
CGCGACCCCAGGUCAGGCGGGGCUACCCGCUGAGUUUAAGCAUAUCAAUAAGCGGAAGGAUCAUGUAACUGAGGAGCG